UUCCCUUCUCCUCUCUCACGGCGUUUCUUCAAGUCUCUCUUGUCUCCGUUUUUGGAGGUAGUUCUCUCUCUCUCUCUCUCGUGUCUUCUGAUGCCAAAGAACCAAGCAAGUCUUCUUCUGCUCAAAGAUCUGUCUAAGAACCUGGAUGAUGGUUUAAAGUCUGUGAUUUACCGUUGCCCUCCCAUCGACUUCUUGUCUAGGGCACAUGAGCAGUUGUAACGGCGGUAUGUGGUUUCACGAUGAUGUUCCCCAUCAGGCCGAUAGGAGUAAAUCUCUCGCACUCUGUUUUUGGUGAAACCCAUGGAACCUCUCUUUCUCUCUCUCCUCUCUGGUGAUGCACAAUGCGGUCUCCUCUCGGUGUUCAUCUAGGGCAGCGAGGCACCGUCGGCUUGAUCUUUUCCUUUCUUCCUCUUUGCUUCACAGAUCAAUCGUUGGUGGUCCUCAGCUCAAAGGUGUAAAUUAUCAUGUCGCCUCUUCUACUUAUAUUCUCUUUAAUCUGGCUGCUUGAUGUCGUCCUUUUAUAUUUGUUCAUGCCAGACCUGAAAUUUUGGUGUUGGAACAACUUUGCUUUCAAGUUGGCAGAGAAGCUAUGAGGCAGCCAAAAGAUUAAGAAGCAGAUCCGAUGAAUUUCACAGAAUCAAAGACCCUUAUUUAUAGAGUAAGGAGAUUGAACAUGGAUCGACACCAGGACGACGUCCGGAAGAGAUGAAGUUUUGUGAGUCGGUCUAUUCAUUAGACCAAUUUGGGCUUUGGUUUGAUAUAUUUUAUGGCCCAAUUCUAAAUAUAUAUUAUUAUGUAUCGAACAAAAUCCGAAGGCCACACCUAUUGUACACUUAAAUUAAUGAAACACAUAGUUU